AAGUCGUAACAAGGUUUCUAUCNAACAAGUCCUUCCGUGGGUAACACUUGCCGAAGCCUUAGCAGCCCGAAAGGGUGUCUCUCGACGACUGUAAACAAUCAGAGGGACUUAAUUGCUAGUUCACCUCAGGUGGGCAACACUGUCAAAUUGCGGGAAACCCCUAAAGACCUUGACACCAAGCGUCCACUAGAAAUGGUGGCGUGNCCGAGUUAAUUGCCCUGGGUAUGGUAACAGUUCAAGGUAUGAACCUGGAGAUCAGGUGGAAUGGGCAAUCUGCAGCCAAGUCCUAAGGCCUUCCUGUCUCUAGACGGCGGUUAUGGAUGCUGUUCACAGGCCAAAUGGCAGUGGGUGUGGUGCCUUAAUUGGCUAUUACCUCGCUUAAGAUAUGGUCGGUCCCUGGGUGAGAACUCGGGGGUGAGUUACCCUCAACAAAGUAACAAUAUAAAUGUUCCG
rnacentral:ncRNA from 1 species